rnacentral:rRNA from 1 species
UGGGCAACCUGCCCUCAGCUCUGGGAUAACUCCGGGAAACCGGGCUAAUACCGGAUAUUCACUUCCUACCGCAUGGCGGGUGGUGAAAAGAUUUUUCUGCUGGGGAUGGGCCCGCGGCCUGUCAGCUUGUUGGUGGGGUGAUGGCCUACCAAGGCGACGACGGGUAGCCGGCCUGAGAGGGCGAUCGGCCACACUGGGACUGAGACACGGCCCAGACUCCUACGGGA